CAAUAGCGUAUAUUAAAGUUGUUGCAGUUAAAAAGCUCGUAGUUGGAUUUCUGGUGGGAGCGAUCGGUCCGGCGCUUAGCGCGAGUACUUGCAUCGUCUCCGGCCAUCCUUGGGGGGAGUCUGUCUGGCAUUAGGUUGUCGGGCAGAGGAUCCUCAUCGUUUACUGUGAAAAAAUUAGAGUGUUCAAAGCAGGCUUAUGCCGUUGAAUAUAUUAGCAUGGAAUAAUAAGAUAGGACUUUGGUACUAUUUUGUUGGUUUGCGCACCAAAGUAAUGAUUAAUAGGGACAGUUGGGGGUAUUCGUAUUCCGUUGUCAGAGGUGAAAUUCUUGGAUUUACGGAAGACGAACUACUGCGAAAGCAUUUACCAAGGAUGUUUUCAUUAA
rnacentral:rRNA from 1 species